rnacentral:rRNA from 1 species
AGUGAACGCUGGCGGUAGGCCUAACACAUGCAAGUCGAACGGCAGCACAGUAAGAGCUUGCUCUUACGGGUGGCGAGUGGCGGACGGGUGAGGAAUACAUCGGAAUCUACUUUUUCGUGGGGGAUAACGUAGGGAAACUUACGCUAAUACCGCAUACGACCUACGGGUGAAAGCAGGGGAUCUUCGGACCUUGCGCGAUUGAAUGAGCCGAUGUCGGAUUAGCUAGUUGGCGGGGUAAAGGCCCACCAAGGCGACGAUCCGUAGCUGGUCUGAGAGGAUGAUCAGCCAGCCUGGAACUGAGAAACGGUCCAGACACCUACGGGAGGCCGCAGUCGGGAAUCUUGCACAAUGGGCGAAAGCCUGAUCCAGGCAUACCGCGUGGGUGAAGAAGGCCUUCGGGUUGUAGAGCCCUUUUGUUGGGAAAGAAAAGCAGCAGGUUAAUACCCCGCUGUUCUGACGGUACCCAAAGAAUAAGCACCGGCUAACUUCGUG